UACGUAGGGGGCAAGCGUUGUCCGGAUUUAUUGGGCGUAAAGAGCGUGUAGGCGGCCGUACAGGUCAGCUGUGAAAACUCGAGGCUCAACCUCGAGACGCCGGUGGAAACCGUUUGGCUAGAGUCCGGAAGAGGAGAGUGGAAUUCCUGGUGUAGCGGUGAAAUGCGCAGAUAUCAGGAAGAACACCCGUGGCUAAGGCGGCUCUCUAGUACGGUACUGACGCUGAGACGCGAAAGCGUGGGGAGCGAACAGG
rnacentral:rRNA from 1 species